UUACUUCCCGCUUUUUCUGUUGUUUAUUUUCGUCCGAUCUCUCUCUCUCUCUGUGUACCUUCUAAUUUCUCUGUAUUUUCUCCCUUGCUCGCUCUGUUGACCUAUGUGAUUGCUUACCAAUAUCUGGCUGUUUUCUUCCUGAUCUACCUAUCUGUACCUCUCAGUUUUUUCAGUCAUUUUCUCCUUGAUGGAUCUCUAGGUCGGUCUGGGAGAAAAUACAGAAAAACUGUUUAUUUACCAGUUUAUCUCCGUGUUUCUCUAUGAUCAGCAUUUGUCUACUAAUGUUUCUAUACAGUGGUGCCUCGCUAGACGAUGAUAAUCCAUUCCACUGAAAUCGCUGUUUAGCAAAAUCAUUGUCUAGCGAAAAGCAUUUCCCCGUUGGAAUGCAUUGAAACCUGCUUAAUGCGUUCCAAUGGGGAAGAAUCCUCGUUGUCUAGCGAAGAUCGGCCAUAGGAAAGCCGCUUUGCGAACUGCCAACCAGCUGUUUAAAUAGCUGUCUUGCAAAGCUUAGGUCCCGAAAACACCCAUUUUUUGAGCUGUCAAAAUUGUUGUCUAGCGAAAAUCAGAUUGCGAAGCCGGGACGAAACAUUGUCCAGCGAAAUUCCUUCAUAGGAAUCACGAGGCACUACUGUAUUUCUCUCUCUGACUACCUGUCUCAUUUAUCCACCUUUGUUUUUUCUCUCCCGCCUUCCAGAUCACUAGGCAUCCCAUCCUCCCCAGCUGCAUCCGGGAAAGGAUGGGAACCAGAAGCUUGGAUAAAACCCACCUGAGCCAGAGUGUUGAGAACCUAAGAGACAGCAGGAAUAGUGCCGUGUUUUCCAAAACUGAAUCAGAAGUGUUGGAACGGGAAGAGGUCCCCAGCGAUCGUGGACACGGAGGUAAGUUUCUACAGUAUUUAAAACCAGGAUGCGAACAUUUGGUCCUUCAGAGAUUGGCGAACUCUCACUCCCAUCCAAACUGACCGUUGUCCAGGGUUGCAGGGGCUGAUAGGAACUGGAGUCCCACAGCACCCAGAGGGCCAGUAUUCCCAAAUGAUAUAAAACGGGCCUUGCGGGAGGAAUGUCUUGUAAGCAACCGGUCGGCCACUGUGAGAACAGAAUGGACUGCCCAGGUCCUGGAUCUAAUCUAGUAUGGCUCGCGUCUUUCUGCAUCCUCUCCAGUCGUUACUCCUAAUUUUAUAGCAUCUCUUUACUGCAUGUUCGCUGUGUGGUUAUAAGGAUGGAGAGAAAUGAUAAGAUCUCUUCCUUUCGCUGCAUCCUUGGUCAAGGAGAGCUGGUGAACAUGCUGUGAUGAAGAGAUGAUGGAGAAUAAGCACAUCUUAAGAGAUCAGUGUCUUAAAUGCCCUCCCUUUCCUCAUGCAUCCAUUUUAGCACAAUGUCCAAUAAAACCAACAUCGUCAUCCCA
rnacentral:lncRNA from 1 species